AAGGGCACCACAAGAACGCGUGGAGCAUGUGGCUUAAUUUGACUCAACGCGGGAAAUCUUACCGGGUCCGGACACACUGAGGAUUGACAGAUAUACGUCGUGCGUUGAGCUCUCUCGGGGGCCGAGCGCAUGACUGAAAGAUGCUAGUUCUUUCAUGAUUAUGUGAUAGGUGGUGCAUGGCCGUUCUUAGUUCGUGGAGUGAUCUGUCUGCUUAAUUGCGUAUCAUAAAAAGAGACCUAGUAUACGCGUAAGAUAUCGUUUACGGUUCGUGACCCCCUUCGGGCGUGUGUCGCACGUACGUAUCAUACGCACUGGUCUCCGAUAGCAACGAACGUGACCGUACUCUAUUGUUGCAGCGAAUGUAUGCAUCUUCGGGUGUAUCUACCGCUGCUUAGUGCGUAUGCGUACUUCGGUGCGUGUCGUACAUUAAACUAUAGAGACCGCUGUAUUUUUUUUAAACCAGAGGAAGGAUACGGCAAUAACAGGUCUGUGAUGCCCUCAGAUGUUCCGGGCUGCACACGUGCUACAAUGAUCAUUGCACUGUGCAUCUAACCCAAUGUGCGUGGACGCCACGGUAUGUAUUUAUGCUUCGGCGUAGUAUAUAUCAGUUGGUCGGCCGCGCCGAACCUACUUCGAAAGUAAAAUUUCUCAGUGGGUAAUCCAUUAGAAGUAAUGACUNCCAUAGACCAUGGUACACACUUAUAUAUGUACGCGCAGGUUCUACCCGGCCNGCCUUUGUGUCGGUGCAGUGCGUANCGNGNUNUUUCGUACGUANCACUCUGUAUUAAUUCAUACGUGGGGAUAGAUCAUUGUUUAAUUGUUGGUCUCGGUCUCACCUAGGAAUNCCUGGUACGGGUCUCCGGUUCAACAUACCACCCNGAAAAGAUCCCNCCCCUUUGAACNCNCCGCCCGNCNCUCUAGANAANNGANNACACUANGAAUNUAUAGCACUCCCAAAGGUGUNNGGNCCCGGUAAGNUAGNGGANAUAGAUACGAAUAGUGUGANNNNNNNNAAAGAGAAGUCGAACAAGGCA
rnacentral:rRNA from 1 species